rnacentral:rRNA from 1 species
AUUGAACGCUGGCGGCAGGCCUAACACAUGCAAGUCGAGCGGAUGAAGGGAGCUUGCUCCUGGAUUCAGCGGCGGACGGGUGAGUAAUGCCUAGGAAUCUGCCUGGUAGUGGGGAUAACGUCCGGAAACGGGCGCUAAUACCGCAUACGUCCUGGGGGGGGAAGGGGGGGAUCCUCGGGACUUACGCCAUUCGAUGAGCCUAGGUCGGAUUAGCUAGUUGGUGGGGUAAAGGCCUACCAAGGCGACGAUCCGUAACUGGUCUGAGAGGAUGAUCAGUCACACUGGAACUGAGACACGGUCCAGACUCCUACGGGAGGCAGCAGUGGGGAAUAUUGGACAAAGGGCGAAAGCCUGAUCCAGCCAUGCCGCGUGUGUGAAGAAGGUCUUCGGAUUGUAAAGCACUUUAAGUUGGGAGGAAGGGCAGUAAGUUAAUACCUUGCUGUUUUGACGUUACCAACAGAAUAAGCACCGGCUAACUUCGUG